AUUGAAUUUCAUGAGGCGAUUGAUAAAACAAACAAGUUAUCCCUCCUGCUGACGACCAGUGAAGCGGGAGAUAACCAUCUAAGCAGUCUGCCUGUUCUGCUUGAUUACACAGUUUCUUCCCUUGGCUCGGAGGAGCUCAUAAGCUUGAAACUGGGUUGGCAAGGAGAGGAACCAAGUCCACAAGUGGCGCGCAGUCAGACAGAAGAAAUCUGGACUUACGCCUGGCCUCCCACCGCUCUGCUCACGCUUCUAUUAAUAGGCGCGCUCUUUGGCCACGGGCGCCGACGCUGGGGAGCACGAGAUAAGGAGAAUCGUCCAUCAUCGUGUGGUGGUAACAGCAGCCGCGGCAAGCUGGAUGCCAGCAGUCCAAGGCGGGAGGUUACAUCAGAAAACCACAGAAAUUUUCUAGGGGCAGCACAAAUCUUGGAAUCUCAAGGUCAUUUGGCUGGCAAGACUGACGUG
rnacentral:sRNA from 1 species